rnacentral:misc_RNA from 1 species
AACGGUCUAUACCUGCGGUACCUGCGGAAGGAUCAUUAUAGAGUGGUAAACCCCCCGUAAAAGGGGGGGACCUCCUGUCCUUUGUAGGCUCUUUUUUAAAAGGGCUUUUUUUAAUUUUCUGCUUCGGUGGGGUUAUCCCACCGGAACAACCUCAAAACUCUUAUCAAAAAAUCGUUCUGUCUGAGAACCUUUUAUAAUAAAAAAAACUUUCAACAACGGAUCUCUAGAUCGGAAGAGCAC